AUUGAACGCUGGCGGCAGGCCUAACACAUGCAAGUCGCACGAGUGGCGGACGGGUGAGUAAUGUCUGGGAAACUGCCUGAUGGAGGGGGAUAACUACUGGAAACGGUAGCUAAUACCGCAUACCAUCGGAUGUGCCCAGAUGGGAUUAGCUAGUAGGUGGGGUAACGGCUUACCUAGGCGACGAUCCCUAGCUGGUCUGAGAGGAUUACCAGCCACACUGGAACUGAGACACGGUCCAGACUCCUACUGGAGGCAGCAGGGGGGAAUAUUGCACAAUCGGCGCAAGCCUGAGGCAGCCAUGCCGCGUGUAUGAAGAAGGCCUUCGGGUUGUAAAGUACUUUCAGCGGGGAGGCGUUACCCGCAGAAGAAGCACCGGCUAACUCCGGGCCAGCAGCCGCGGUAAUUC
rnacentral:rRNA from 1 species